rnacentral:misc_RNA from 1 species
UAUGUUAUUAGUUUGGUGGUCAUUGAAUUUUUCUUGUUUAAGGCUUAUUUGUUUUGCAAACAAAAAAAAAUGGUCUAUGGAAAAUUUUCUUAUUGGAAAACAUUCUUUGAGAAACUGAAUUAUUUACCUUUAUAUGGCUAUAAUGCUGAAAAUCUUUUUUUUGUUUUUAUUUGGGCAGUUUGAGCACACAAGAAGAACUUUAAUUAUGUUUCAGCAAAGAAAAUGACAAAAAAAUUUGGUUCUAGGAGAAUUUAAUAUUUUUCUCACUUGAUGUUUUUUUCACUUGAGUAGAAGAGAAAAUUUUAAAAAGAAGAAGAAGAAUUAAAAGUGCGAAUUGUGAUAGUUGUGGCGAUACGUGUUGAUUUCUGUUAAUAACUUUACCCCUUUUCAUGAGACUGUGGAAGUUUGGAUAAUGACUUUCCAUUUAAAACAGGAAGUUAUUUUAUUUGAAAACUGCUAAUUUUCCCAUGUACUAUGAGUACCAAAUACUGGAAAAUGAGGGAAAUGUGUUUCCAGACUUUUUUUAGCUAUCUGCCAAAUGUUGUUUUGUUCCAUGGUGCAUUUGCUAAUACUCUUUAAGGAUGGAUAUUUGUUCUUCCUUUUUUCUCUCCUCCCCAAGGGAUGGAAGCAUUUGCUGAUA